rfam:Gossypium raimondii Chr07_contig_698, whole genome shotgun sequence.
UAUUAAAAUUUUAUCAAUUUUUACUAUUAAAAAUUAGUAAGAUUGACGAAAUAACUAAAUAAUUUAUAUGGCAUGCUAUGUGUACUUCAUGCUGACGUAAAUAAAUCAAAUUUUAAGAGUAGAAAUUGAUAAAACUUUUAACA